GCAAACUUGGUCAUUUAGAGGAAGUAAAAGUCGUAACAAGGUAACCGUAGGUGAACCUGCGGUUGGAUCAUUACAAAGUUUUGGCUUAAAAAGCCUUAACACUGUGCACUGAAAAUGUGUUUUUGGGUCAGUGGAAAUUUCUACUGGCCCAAAGCAAACUCCUUAGCCAAUUGACUGAAUUUUCUAAAGAAAACAACUUUUGACAACGGAUCUCUUGGCUCUCUAGAGGAAGUAAAAGUCGUAACAAGGUAACCGUAGGUGAACCUGCGGUUGGAUCAUUACAAAGUUUUGGCUUAAAAAGCCUUAACACUGUGCACUGAAAAUGUGUUUUUGGGUCAGUGGAAAUUUCUACUGGCCCAAAGCAAACUCCUUAGCCAAUUGACUGAAUUUUCUAAAGAAAACAACUUUUGACAACGGAUCUCUUGGCUCUCGCAUCGAUGAAGAACGCAGC
rnacentral:misc_RNA from 1 species